GAUUGACCUCGGAUCAGGUAGGGAUACCCGCUGAACUUAAGCAUAUCAAUAAGCGGAGGAAAAGAAACCAACAGGGAUUGCCUUAGUAACGGCGAGUGAAGCGGCAACAGCUCAAAUUUGAAAUCUGGCUCCUUUAGGGGUCCGAGUUGUAAUUUGUAGAGGAUCCUUCGGGCAAGGCGGUGGUCUAAUUUGCUUGGAACAGCGAGUCAUAGAGGGUGAGAAUCCCGUCUAGGAUCGCCAGCCGCGUCCAUGUGAAGCUCCUUCGACGAGUCGAGUUGUUUGGGAAUGCAGCUCUAAAUGGGUGGUAAAUUUCAUCUAAAGCUAAAUAUUGGCCAGAGACCGAUAGCGCACAAGUAGAGUGAUCGAAAGAUGAAAAGCACUUUGAAAAGAGAGUUAAACAGUAUGUGAAAUUGUUGAAAGGGAAGCGCUUGCAACCAGACUUGCGUGUAACGGUUCCCCCGGCCUUCUGGCCGGGUUACUCCGUUAUCUCCAGGCCAGCAUCGGUCUGAGUGGUCGGUUAAAGACCCCGGGAAUGUAUCUACCUUCGGGUCGACUUAUAGCCCGGGGUGUAAUGCGGCCCACCCAGACCGAGGAACGCGCUUCGGCUCGGAUGCUGGCGUAAUGGUUGUAAGCGGCCCGUCUUGAAACACGGACCAAGGAGUCUAACAUCUAUGCGAGUGUUUGGGUGUUAAACCCCUACGCGUAAUGAAAGUGAACGGAGGUAAGAACCCCGCAAGGGGCGCAUUAUCGACCGAUCCUGAUGUCUUCGGAUGGAUUUGAGUAAGAGCAUAGCUGUUGGGACCCGAAAGAUGGUGAACUAUGCCUGAAUAGGGUGAAGCCAGAGGAAACUCUGGUGGAGGCUCGCAGCGGUUCUGACGUGCAAAUCGAUCGUCAAAUUUGGGCAUAGGGGCGAAAGACUAAUCGAACCAUCGUUGAAUGGCGGCUACCGGGUGGUUCCAUGACAGUCCUUCGGGGCUACAUCGUCCUUCUGGCGGGGAUUCAAACCUGCAGCAGUUUAGGCUGUCCACAGACUAGGAGA
rnacentral:rRNA from 1 species